rnacentral:rRNA from 1 species
GACCUCGGAUCAGGCAGGGAUACCCGCUGAACUUAAGC